AUUGAACGCUGGCGGCAGGCCUAACACAUGCAAGUCGAGCGGAUGAAGGGAGCUUGCUCCUGGAUUCAGCGGCGGACGGGUGAGUAAUGCCUAGGAAUCUGCCUGGUAGUGGGGGAUAACGUCCGGAAACGGGCGCUAAUACCGCAUACGUCCUGAGGGAGAAAGUGGGGGAUCUUCGGACCUCACGCUAUCAGCUGAGCCUAGGUCGGAUUAGCUAGUUGGUGGGGUAAAGGCCUACCAAGGCGACGAUCCGUAACUGGUCUGAGAGGAUGAUCAGUCACACUGGAACUGAGACACGGUCCAGACUCCUACGGGAGGCAACAGUGGGGAAUAUUGGACAAUGGGCGAAAGCCUGAUCCAGCCAUGCCGCGUGUGUGAAGAAGGUCUUCGGAUUGUAAAGCACUUUAAGUUGGGAGGAAGGGCAGUAAGCUAAUACCUUGCUGUUUUGACGUUACCAACAGAAUAAGCACCGGCUAACUUCGUG
rnacentral:rRNA from 1 species